CAACUUCCACCUGGCAUACCUCUUCAGUUAUGCGUCAAGGGUUGUAUCCCCUUGAGCGUAUUGUGGGUUUCCUGUGUUAAAUUCCAAUUUGAUGGUAUCGUUUUGGCUGAUCGAAGUCCCUUUUUCAUCUUGUGUCGCCUUUGUGAUUCAAGAUGAACUACGAAGUGGUCUCUAUGUUCCGCUAUGUUGAUGCAAAUGCAUUGAUGUCGUGGCCCAUUGAGCGUUGCUCGGUAUCCUGGAUAUGGAACAUUAUGUGGGCAUGGGGUCUCUCAUGGCUCUUGUUUUGUCCUCGUUUAGUGUUCUUCGAAACGACAGUUCAUGCGCGCCUAGGCUCGUACCUGCGCGAUGAUAUUUGUCAAAGAGGAAUGCUACCUGGUUGAUCCUGCCAGUAGUCAUAUGCUUGUCUCAAAGAUUAAGCCAUGCAUGUGUAAGU
rnacentral:misc_RNA from 1 species